CCCCCUGCCCGCCCGGCACGUCUGCUCCCGGGUGUAGUGGGCUCCCGGGGCCGCAGUUCCCAGGUGGGCUCCCGCGCUGAGCGUCUCGAGAACUUGUUGGAAAUACAGGUUCCAGCUCAGACUCGCUGAAUUGAAACUCCAGCAGUCUGAGCUCACAGUCCGGGUAAUUCAGGUGAGCGCGAGUCUGCGAGCUGCUAGGCUAGGGGACGGCGGCAACGUGUCGCCCCUUCGACCCUGGAUUCCGAACGGCGCUCGGAAUGAGUGACCUGCGUUCGACCAGCUUGGAGACGGGGAGACAGACUGCAAAGAGCCGAGAGCCCGGCGAAGGUCACAGCCGGCAGGUCCGGACUCAGCGGCCAUCCUCUCCGUGCGGAAGGUUUGGCUACACUCGCUAGCUUGCUCCCUCUGCUCCACUUCACUCCUCGGCCCGGGACAAAAGGGCUGCGUUUGUCCAGGCCGCCGGAGACCUUCGCCUCUGAAUCCACAUCCUCUCUGGGUCUUACUAACACCGGGCGUUUGUUCCGGACUGUCUCUUUGGAACACUCUCCGCCACCCCCCAGGUGCCUCUAUCCUGGGCCCAUUCCCCUUAACUUUGGGAUGAGGUUUUCCCUAAGGAGCACGACCUUAACUGGUUGCAUCCACAGGGACCCAAAUCUGCAAUUUGUGGGACCUCAGCCGGGUACCAGGUACCCAUCCGGGCUCGGGGAUCUGCAGACCCGGCAUUCCUGCCUCCCGGAUCAAGUCCGGUCCUCCGCUGGGCCACCCCCCUGUUGCCUGCCUCCUUCCCCUCCCCCACCGCCACCCCGUUGGCAACCUCUGACUCUCGCCUCCAGUCCUGGCUAAGCCCUCAUAACUCCUCCUCUGGAUAGUGUGAGGCUUUCUCAUUCACUCUUUCAUUCCACAGACAUUUCCUGGCGCCUCCCAGCACACGGUGCUGGGUGUCCCUGAAGAGCCACGUCCCUAUGGUCGUAGAACCUAUGUCCUCCCUAGAGAUGGACACACAAAUCUGUUGACAGCCCACCUCUCUCCUAGUUAGGGUGGUUUGAACUCCCCAUCCUAAAAAAAACAAAGCCUUCUCUAUACCACACCCCUCCACCCACCUGCCCACUUCUCUGCUCUUCUUUACAACAUAAUCCCCGCCUGCCUCCCCCCACAACUGUCUGCAGCCUCAUCUCCACUUUCUCAGCCCUCCUCGUCCCCCACUGUCACUGUCAGUUCCUGUGUUUUACACACACUGGCCAAUUCUCUGCUUUUUCCUGAACUGACCCCUGGCAGCAUACUCACCCCUGAACACUGCUGUCUCCCACCUCUCCUGCACCUCCCUCUGCCGCUUCCUCCCGCAGCCUGGAAUUGCACCCCCACCACCUCCACCUCCGCCUUUGGUGCUUCUCAGGCCCUUGAGCUGCUCGUGUCCACUUAAGGCUCAAGAUUCGUUCCCAAGCUUGAUGGCCCCACUGGGCUGACCACACCCGCCCUGCCCCCGCCAUCUCUCAUCCCACCAGGCCUCCCUCAGAUAGGCCCUUCUCCAUCUCAGGGUGCCCACCCAUUCUUUUCCCAUUCUCAGCUCAGAGUUCCCUGGUGCUGGGUGGUCACCUCCGUUUGGUGAUUACAUCCACUGCUGCCACCUGGUCCAACUGGGAUUUUUGCAUCAGCCUUCUGUUUCCCUAAAACCUAAGUCCAUCCAUGUCCAUCUCUCUGGAUGUAGGAGUUGCAGUGGUCCCGUCAUCCUUAGGGACCCCGGGCCUUCCUGCCCUGUCUCCCACCAGCCCCAUUCUGGUUCAUCCCCACCAGCCCCCAGCUGCCUCCGCCUCCAGGCCUUUGUGUAUAUGGUGGCACUUUUGCCCAGACCCACACUUCCUUCCAGCGCCCACUCAACAUUUCUGACACCCAUGUGAGUCUGCUCCCAGCCCCACCCCAUGGGCACCCCUCCACGCCCACCACCCGAGGGAGCAGGAAGCUGCAGCCCAGGGGUGAGAGUGUGGGAUGCAGCCCCCAGCCCCCCUCUCCUGGCCCCAUGGCCAGCACUGGGGCUGUGUCCCCUGGGCUAUCGGCAGCCCAGCCUGGCAUGCGGCCUUGGGCAAGAUGCCCCACUGCACCCUCCCACCACGUUCCUGCCCCAGAGUGGGAUGGAGAUAGAGGAGGAGGGGUCAGUGGGUCCCGUCCUUGAUGCCCACUGAAGGCAGCACUGGCCAGCCGAGGCCCUUCCCUGGGCACUAUCUCCUGGACCUGCUCCAUCCAAGGCUCCACCAAACACAAGAGCCCUUUCUAAGGAGGGAAGCCCUGGCCGCGAUGGGAGCCUCCGCAUCCAAGUGGCCCCAUGGAUACUGGCCUCUGCCUGAAGACCUGAGUGCCACGUGGGACCCUCCAUCCAGGAGGCUGGAAGCUGGGGCCACCAGUCUUGCAGGCUGCAGUGUGAUGACGUCAUGAAAGGACUCGCCUGGCGCCUGGGUGUGGAACAGCGGAGACAGACCUGAGAACAGCCUGGCUGCUGAGCGCCAGUCCUUUUCACCUCUGGGCAGUUUCUCUAUUUCCCAAUUUUCCACAAAGAUCUCAUAAACUUUCAUGAUCACAAAUAUGUAUUAUCUCCAAAGUGGAAAGUACAAAGGUGUGUUGUUUUUAGCUGGUUUUAAAAGUGACAGAGGCUCACUGUGGAGCUCUGACAGCAGUAGGUGCAGGCAGAGAAGACCUCCUCCCUGCCCUGACCCCCCUCCCAAACCCAACUGGGCCUUCUGUCCCUUCCUGUCACCUGGGACCCAGGGCAGGGUUGCUGCAUGUGCGCCCCACCCACUGUGGGCCCUUUGGGAGGAGGUGAGCAAGACAGAGUGCCCCCCGCCCCUGGUGCAUGGCUGGCCUCCUUAUUUUCUUUGAUAAAUGUUCUUUAUGAAAUAAUAUCAACAACUGAGACCUUUUAGGUGAAAGGUAAAAGUCAGGUGGAGUUUAUGCUCAGUGAGCCCCAUCAGACAGAAGCAAAGGCCUCCACUGGGGGGGUCGGUGGUCCCAUCCGAGGGGCUGGUCUCAGCACCCACCCCUGGGGACCCUUUUCUCAGCAAAGUUCACAGGCUACAUUUGUGCCAAGUCAGCCCUGGGGCAGCCCAGGAAGAGGUGACUGGCAGAGCUGGCAUCUCCCUGAGCCUGGAAGUUAGGGGGUUGGGUCUGGUCAUCCUUUCAGGUGUGACACUGACCCGAGCAGGGCCAGGUGAGGACCACACAGGUCACCGGAAAGCCCAGGCACCCGCUGACAGGCAUUGGGCACACAGCUGUCAGGGGGACGACUGAAGGUGCUUCCUUUCCUUGUUUGGGACCUCACAGUCUGGAGAGACUGGCUCAGUGACAACAUUCAUUUCACCUGCUCCUUCAUUCUGUUGACCGUGCAGAUAAGAGCCUGGACCCAGGUGGCGCAGGGCAGGUCAGACCUGGCAGAGAGACAGGAGACGGUAGGGUCUGCCCACAGCCUUGGAAGGGACCCUGCUCAGGGGACCUGAGGAUGUGAGGAGUGGGGGGUGGAGGAGCCUGUGGCCCUAGGUCCUGGGGAGCAGGGAGGUUGGGAGGAUGUCCAUGCAGACAUGUCUGUGUAUGUCUGGGCAGCCGUGUGUCUCUCAGACUCAGAGGCACCGUUUCCUACCUGUGACCCUAGAUGGGGUUCCUUGCAGGUGACGCUGAGGGUCUCUCCCCCAGCACCGCCAGCACUUGGAUCGGGUGGGUCACCAUUGUGACCCAGUGCCUUGCAGGUGUGGAGGAGCAUCUGGGCCUCCCUCACCUCGAGUGCCUUCCCGCAGGCGCAGUGCUGCGAGUUCCCAGCAGAGGGCGCAGCUGGACACGGCGGGAGUCCUGGGUGCAGGGCUAAGGAUGUUCUCCACCAUAUGCUCAGACCACCAGUCCACCUGGGAGGGGCCCCUGCAGGUUUAUCUCUCCGAGGGCAUCAGCCUUGUCUUCCCCCCACAGGGAUGCAUUCUCAGCUCAGCCGCCAGUUACACUCAUGGUCCCUGUCUGAAGGCACCAUGAGGCUUGUCUGUGGACCCAGACAGUUUGUGUGUGUGUGCUGUGGUGUAUGAUUGUGGGCCUGCAUGUAUUUCCACAUGCAUGUGCUGCUGGAGGUGCUGGGAGAGGCCGUGUCUGCAGAUGCAGGACAGCGGAG